UUCCCGUAGCACGGGCUGUGCGCUUCAGCUUGGAAUGAUCAGAGACCCUGAACUUUAAACAGAGCCUUCUGAAAUUAGGAAGUACUGGAGAUACUGUGAAACAGCAGCAAGAUUGUCUGGGCUGUACGUACCCUGUAAAGUGGAUGGAGUCAGGCCCGGAUCCCAGCGGGGCAGCCGCACUGCUUUGCUGCCCUUGUGUCUCCCAGCGCAGCUUGGCCGCUGCCUCUGAGCCCUCCUGAGACGCUGUUCCUCCAGGCUUGGAUAAAGCCAGCUCUUUUUGUUCCAGGGGUGGCUGUGGGAGGGGAGCUUGCUGUAUAUAAGAGCUCUGCCACUUGCCAAAGGGCGAGAGAACACACCCUGGUCUGUUUUGUUUACGACGUAAAUCGCAGUGUCAAAUUGGUCUUAAGCUUCACCAGAGAUGUGCCAGAGAGAUUUUUAUCCCGUAGCAGCAUUACACAUGUACAGCUGCCAUGAAAACACAUGUGAAUAGAGGGGGGGGGGGGGGGAAGAUCUGGGAUCUGAGAGCUUAAUAUCAGCAUUGUCUGUUUUUUUCUGUACAACCUCACCCCAGUCAAAAAGUGGUUACCAUGAAUAGAUAGUGCAUGGAGGAGUAUUGUUAGAGCAUCAGCGCUUGUCUCCAGUUAAUUAGUUUCUCAUCCAAGGACUGCUGAGUGUGUUAUCUCAUCCCAGGGAACAGCCACUCCCACUAGCAAUGUAAUUCAACUGAGCUAGGAACCAAAUGAAUUGCCAGGCUGCAAAAUACUCUUUUUAACAAUGGGAUCCUCAUUCCCCACGAGGAGGUGUGGUUUUCGGGCAGCCACUUUCAGCCUCUUGGAUUACUUCGUUCGGCUGAAGGAGCUUAUGCAAUGCGUGCCUACUGUAUGUUGGUAUAAACCCACCUGAGAUUUGCUAGAAUCAAAGGUUUAGCACUGAAAGUCUGCAAAGCUCGCACAGGUAAAUACAGGUAAAGGCUUCCUUUGUGCAUGUGGAAAGAGGAGUGAAAACGUGAUUGUCCCAUACUGCUUCAGGUUCGUAAAGAUAAUUUUCUAGAGCGCUGAACUCCAACACUAGAAAUGGUGGAAGGGAAGGAAAUAGGAUCAUUUCUCUUGGAAAGACUAGAUAGCUGAAUAGAUGUCUGCCUGAAUGUGUUGAAAAUAAGAGAACAAGGGAUGCUGAUCGUCAGAAUGGUUCAGAGUCACGAAAAAGAGAGCUAGCUUUUUCAGUUCAAAGGGAGAUGGAUGGAGUGGGCAACUCCGGAAUACGUGAAGACGGGAGCUUUGUGCAGCCUUACUGCUGGGCUUGCUUUCUGUGCUAGUGGCCCAGGGAAAUGGCAAAACUAGACCAGAAUAGGAAAGGCUCUAAUCCCAAUUCAUCGUUCAUACCCUGCUCGUAUUCAGGCACUGUCAGACAGAGCGGGCUGCUGCAAUUCACAAUCGUGGGAAGGGCUCCCCAGCUGCACGAUCCAAACGUUUUGAAGUGAAACGUGGUACAUUAUAUUAACUUGGUUCAGACAAUCAGCUUUAAACAUCUGAAUCUCGUUUCUCCAUGUUAAUUCCUCUUGCUCAAUCUUUAUUUCAGCUGCGUGGAAUUCUCAGACCUUUCUGACCCUGAUUUAUCGUUUCCUGAUGUUUUAUUGCUAAGUCACUGAGGUUUCAGGGAGGCUGAUGUUUCUGAAAUGCGCACACCUUUGAUUGUACGCAUGGCCAGCAUGUCAGACCGAACCUCUCAUGUGUUCUGUAUAUAUCAUUGUCUCCUCUGCUGCGUCCUCUGCAGUUUUACGAUUCACCGCACUUAUCUGUGCGCCUCAUUGAUACAGUCCUCCUUAAAAUGUGGUUAUUAUUUAAGGCUUUUCAAGCUCAGCCUCUGCAUACUGCAAAACUUGAUCUGAGCUUACGUUCGCUCUUGUCACUCAUAUACAGGUUCCAUCUGUUCCCCUUUUCCUCUCCCUUUGCUGCUUGCCACAUCCAGACCACAUGCUGCUUAUACAUUGUACAAUAGGCAUUUCUGCACACACACUUCUGAAAAUAUGUCUCUUAGUGCUUUAUUGUUAGCAUGUGUCUUGUUGCUUAAGGCGAGUUUUAUCAGUACUGAUUUUGUUGUUUACAGACGUGUAGAAUAAAACAGGGUACUGAUAAAAUGUGACUGGAGGAGAGGAGAUCUUUGAUGCACCAGUUACACUGUUUACGCCAGCUUUCUGAUCGUGUUCCCUUGCCACCACUUCCCCAAAUUCAGUAGUUGCCUGAGGAUAACACCAGAUCCUAACAUCUAAGCAAUGUAUGGACUGCUUUGCUCUGCAUGUUCCUGCUCCACGUUGGUAGGGGUUCCCCAGCACCUCCUACUCCGCUGUGCCUGGUUUACAGUUGCACUGCAGUGCCUUUACAUAAUGGCUUCCCAUAUUCUUCUAUUUGGGAAAAACAAAUCCAUGAAUAAACCAGUUCAGGAAGUGCCAUCAGUGCUACAAAGCCCCGUGCAGACCCUCCUCUUGCAGGAGCUGAGCUGACCCCCAGCAGCUUCCCCAGUGCAUGAGUGGGAGAGGACCCAUGGAUGUGCAGUGGCCAUGAAUUAAGGCAGGUAGAUCCUCUGGGAGCCAUCUCAGAUCUUUCCCAUCGUACCCUGCUCCAUACCUGCAGUGAGACUGAAGUACCUGCAAACAGAUCACACCGAGCGCAGCUCCCAGUUAACGCUCCUGGGUGUCUGCAGAGGGGCUGGCACAGAGCCCAUUAUGCUGGAUUAUUGCCACCCAGGGAUUUCCCACAACAUCAGGAAAAUCCCCAGCAGCCCCAGACCCCUGGUUUCCCGUUUGCAGAAGCCCAAGGCCUACCCAUGGUGAUGAUAAUCUCUACUGCUGGCACCUCAAAGUGCCAGAGAGCUGACGGCAAAAGCUUCAUUCAUGAGGACUACUAAAAAGAAGCUGUGAGCAACCAGACGUAAGGACCCUUGUGCUUCUGCCUUCCACUACAGCCACAGUUCAUUGGGUGCCUCCUGGCUCCUGUCCCACCACGUCACUCCCAUCCCACCCUGUCCCCUCUGCUGCCCAGCAGAAGCUCUCCUGCUGAAAAGAGGCAGGCAAGAAGAGCUUGUUUUCAUCUACACCAGAAUACUCCUUUUUCGGCUAUAAUAUUCUCAAAACACCUGCUAACGUUCUGCAGUCAGACUGCCACAGUGUCGGUCAGCUGAGUGCUCACUCUGGGUUCAUCCACACAAUCAGUGCACAGUCCGUGCCAAACUGCCAGACAAAGGCAGUUCCUAAAGCGAGCGGUCCCUCGGCAGCUCUCAGUGGAAAGGCCCACCAGGUACUUUGCAUUUGUUUUCCAAUCCGCACCAAAGCUUGAGGCCGUGGAUCAGCCAGAACGAAGGCAGGAAGAAGGUGAACGAAGAGAACAGAGCAGAGCUCUUGGCAAGCUGUUGUGGAUUAAAAAGAAGGCAGGUAGGAACAGAGAUAGAGCAAGUGCCUUAGAGAGUUAUUCAGGAGAAACAAGGGCUUCAAGUGACGUUUGAGUAUGGGAAAGAAAUCAGUAUCUGUGGUUUUCAUUUGUGUUCAGAGUGCUAAAAGCAGAAGUGGUUGCUGGAGUCUGAACAGGAAUCCGAGGCUGCGCUUGCAGCUUCCUCACAAAUUGGAGGAGAAGCUAUUCGUUUGAUUUACAGGCUCAGUGCUACAAGAGCUCUUACUUGUAGAAUUUUGCUUUUUUUUUUUUCUUUUUCGAAACAAAUUGCUAUGUGAGCAGUGGAGCUAAUAACACUCGGUUUCCCAUGGGUCUGUGACCCUUUCUCCCCACUCCUCCCAUAAACAACAAGCCCAGCUCUCCCCUCCCUAUGUGCCUUACGUUUCUUUGCUGAGCAGCGCUCUGAUCUGUAGGUGCCAUCUGACCAGCUAUCAUGUGUAUGGUCAGCCUUCCUGCCUGCACCAGCUAGUCAGCUGCUGGCUGCAUUUCUCUAAGUCCCUUGCCCAGCCGACCACAAAAUUUGGCAAGGAAGUCAGUGCAACUUCUACUUUUCUGUCCUAUAGGAAAACAGGUAAAAUUACUAAUGGAGCUGGGUGGGCAGAUUGAAUCUGAGCUAAAAUGUUCUGUCGUGUUGGCCUUGGAUGUACCUGUAGGAUGUCAGUCCAGGUUCUGGAAGUCAUUUCUCUCCCUCUCUGUCUUUUUCAGCUAUUUUUAACCUGGAUGUGGUCUGUGAUUUGUUUCACACGCAGCUCUGAAAUGGCACAGCUGAGGGAAUGACAGAAGCAUAGAUCAUUGUAGUUGGAGAAGACCUUCAAGAUCAUCACGUCCAAGUGCCGACCCAUCCCCACCAUGCUCACUGACCAUGUCCUGUGCCACGUUCACAUGGUUCUUGUACACCUCCAGGGAUGGUUUCCUGCCUUGUAAUAUUUCAAAUCCUUGACUGCUUGCUGCUGCAGAUGGAGUAUUGGUUACCCUCCAUCAUCGGUCUGGCUGCGAAGACUUCCUGUGCUUGACAAGUUGAUUACUUCGUCAAGGUGAAUGUUCAGUCGAGUCUGUCUGGAGGACCUCUGUGUGUCUGAUGCCAGCUGGUUGCUCACCAGACGCACUGUUUCACCAGGCACAGAAUAAUAUGAGGAGAAAAAAUGGGAUUUUGAGGGGCUUUUUUCCCCACUCCCUUUUUGAGGUUGGUGUUGCUCCAGUUUAUCCCAGUAGGAUGUAGGUGGAUAACUCUCUAAAUGCAGCCAUCUUCUAUAUGGAGAGCAAACCUCUCUGAUGAAAUGCCAUUGUCCUUUAUAUGUGGUUUUCCCUGCCUUUAGGAUCCCCAAAAGAGGUUAGAUGGCUUGGAAGCUGUGGCAUUAACAGUGCUUUCAUAUUGUCCAUUGUGUAUCAUCAAGGAAGCGCAGUAAAAUCCAAAUAAAUUAAAUGAAUUUCAUUGCAGUUCCUGAGGGAGAGCAGGAUGCUUUACUUGUGAGUUUCAAGUCAGGUCAGGAGGGUUGGAUCUCCACAGAGAAACUGCUGACACAGGCCCAGAAAUGUCAUUAGUAAGGUAAAGAAAAACAUCCAAACUUCUCUUAAUAGUCCUUUGUGAAUACUUUAUAGGAAGUGGCAUCCAGACAACAAUAGGUAUUAAGAAAUUGGGAAAUAACAGUAAACAGCACAAAGUAAACAGCACAGAGAAAACUGUGUGUGCUUUCUGAGAAGGUAAGGAAACUGCAUCACAAUGCUGAGUGCUUCAGGAGAGAAAAUUCUCAUAACUUCCAUAGCCAAACAUUGCUUGGGACCAGGGUGUGAAUGACUCCUCUGUGCUACUGCUGAGAGGGUGUUGCAACUUCUUGGCAGGUUACAGAAAAUAGAAUGUUGGCCAGCUUCAUUAUCUGGUGGUACAGGAACAUUUGUUUCUCUAGCCACAUGUGGCUGUGUCUGACCAUCUUGGGUAUCCAAGCAGGGAGUUCAAAGGAAAACCCUGUAGGCUUGGUUUUCAAAGGGACUUAUUUCCAGUAAGUGUGAACCUUGUUUCUAAAAGGAGAGAAAUCCUUGUUUACUCUUCUAGGAACUCAUAUUUCUGACAUAUUGUAGCAGAAAUAAUAAACAAAAGCAUACUACAGUGGUGAGGUGAAUCCAGGGAGCAUGGCAACUGCUGCCAGACCAGCAUCUGCAGCCAAACCAGCCCCUGGUGCAUCAUGAGCACCUUCCCUGGCAGACGUGGUCCUGGGGUUACUGUCCUCAACAGAUCCCAUAUUAACACCUCAGUGAGGAGAAGAAUCAUAGAAUCACAGAAUAUCCUGAAUUGAAAGGGGCCUACAAGGACCAUCAGCUUAACUCCUGGCUUCACAUAGGAACACACAAAAUUGAAAUCCUAUGUCUGCAACUGUUGUCCAGACACUCCUCAAAUCCAGCAGCUGAGGCCAUGCCCACCGCCCUGAAGAGCCUCUUCCAUGCCCACCACCCUCCGGUAAAGAACCUUUUCCUAAAACUGAGGCUGACCUCCUUCUGGUGCAGCUCCAUGCUGUUAAAGAACGAUGGAGUUUUUCCUGUGUCCCACCAUACCUGACAAGGCAAGGAUGUGUUGCAGUCCCUAUAAAUUGAGCUAUUUCAGACCGACUUUGUGCAAGAGUGGAAGAAGAGUAAUAUGUAGCCACUUUUAUCCCCUUGGAAAGGUAGAGGCAGGAGAGCAGGCUGCCAGACCUCCAGAGAAGCAAGGGUCUCCAUCAGGGCAUUUCCUAGCAGGAGGCAAGAAGAUCAUGCUUUCUCUCCUGUCAUUUAUUCCCUGAUGACUAUUUUCUUUGCUUCCUCCAGGCCCAGGGCCAGGAGGGCCAGCACUGGGAACACGUCCUGGUGCAUAGCCAGGGACGCAGCAGUGUCCUGCUGAGAGCAGUGGCCCGGGGCCGGGCACACAGCAUCCAGCCCUCCCCUGGAGACUGGUGUUUGCUGAGGGAUGCAAGGUAACCUCAGCAUUGAAAAUAGCUGGGACGUUGGCCAGCGAAGAUUAAUGGCAUCAUUAACAUCUCCAGUUUAUUUAUAGGUUUUAAAAAGUCUCCAACCUGUAAACAAAGCAGAGUUAUGCUGCGUAAUGCAGAGAAUCACAGGUUUACCUCCUUCCCACUCCUCUUAUUUCAUCCUUGUUGUUGAGACUGUAAAACCCCUGGGGCAGGACUGGCUCACUGCAAACUUACAUUAUAAACCUUCUCAAUGAGGGGGAUACGCACUGUUGUUUUUUUUUCCCAUGAAUGCCAUGUUUGUCUGGUCUCCUUUCUCCACUCAGCUCUUUCUGUGCUUUGUCCCGUGGCCCCUGUUACGGAAAAUUCUCUUUUUGAAGAAUUCCUGAGGCCCAGGUUGGGAAGUCAUCACAGGAAUUAGUGAUUUUCUGCCUUGGGCCUUAAGCUGCAAGCUUUGUGUGAGGAGGAUUGAGCAUCUUGUAGCUGUGGAGAGCACCUAGGCCGUGCAUGGCCCCAGUGAAGCGUGCAGAUGUUAUUAAUGACCCUGGGGUCUUCGUACAGGCACUCAGGGCCACUCAGUUCCCAGGUUCUCGAGAAACUUGAAGGGCUGUCAAGAAAAGAAAAAGCAUGUUGGCCCCAGAACAGGAGUUCUCAGCACGUGAGCUGCAGCCACACCACCUGGCCCAUCUCCAGGAGCUCAGGAGAAGGUAAGGUAGAAAGAGGGCCUGUUGGCAGCAGGCAGCAGGGAUCUGCUGCAGAGGUGUAUGGGUGGAGGGGGAAAGAAAAAUGUGAGAACAGGCCCCUCUAGGCACACAGUGAUCACAUUAUGAAGAUGUGUUUUGGAGGGCAACCACCGUUCGUUUUGCUGUUUGUGAUGUGUUAAUCUGAGUUGUACUCCCAUGGCUCUCUCUCCUGGGCCUUUUGUCUUCUAGGGGGUAAAAUAAAGAAUUGGCAGAGAAUUUCUCAAA
ensembl:lncRNA